GGGAGCUGACUGUGGCUCAGAUCAUGAACUCCUUAUUGCCAAAUUCAGACUGAAAUUGAAGAAAGUAGGGAAAACCACUAGACCAUUCAGGUAUGACCUAAAUCAAAUCCCUUAUGACAUAAGUGAGUAUGAAUUGGCUUUUCCCAGAGACGGCCUGAGACAUGGGAUAUUUAACCUAUCUAUGUUUUCAUCCGCACCUGUUCAAGCCCACCAAGGCAGAACGGACUUUAAGGGAGAAACAGUCUUGGACCACGUGGUGUUCUAGUUUGGCCUUGCUGACCUGCAGGUGAAGACACGGGGAUCCUCCUUCUCCCUCUGGGAUCUGGCAGGAUUUGGACUAGGAUGACCUGCCCCUCCCCCAUACAAGAUGACGACGUGCCUGCCGGCGCAGUGCUCCACCAGGGCCGGAGGCCGCCUUAAUGCCCGAUCCAAGGCCAGGUGAAGUUCCUGCAGCAGCCGCUGCUCCUCCGCCGGCUCUCCCAGAGGUCGUAGAGCUCCCAGCUCGGCGGGCUCCGAUCCCGGUGGCAGAAGCCUCUGGCCAACACUUCCAGGAUCUGAACCGCCCAAGCUACACCGGCCUCUCCUGUUAAAGUUGCAGGUGUUGACCCUUGGAUCCAUCAUGCGAGGAUAAAGAGAGCAUACCACGCAGACCCAGAAAACGCUGAGUGGACUGCACAGAGGGACCCCGCUGACCCUCGAGGACUAAGACCAUCCUUAAUAAGAAGGAAAAGAAGAUCCUGGCCGAGCCUCUUGAGGAUGAAGCCGCAUAAUCAACUCCUGAUGCUUGGUCUCAUCAAUGUGACAUUCCUAUGUGGACUUCAAAAUACCUCCAACUGUUGGGUAUGUGGGGCUAUGCCUCUGUCUGUGAUGGAUGGACUUCCCUGGUAGCUGUCACUGCUCUGCCAAGGAGAUUUUAAGCCACUCUGCUCUUUUCUGGGACAUAAUCAUAAUCUCUCCCUGCUCUCUGGGUGUAAGCCAGACCUACAGUCAAUACACUCGGGUCAUAGGGUUACAUUUGAUAUAAAUGCCAGUGUGACAAAAGCCUAACCUACAACAAA